CCGCCUGGAGGGUACCGGCCCCCCCAGGGGUCCCCGUCGUGGGACUGCGCCCAGAAAGCGCCGGGAGACGCGGCGACCCCGAGACGGUGCAGGACCCUCACCAGCAGGCCCAGGGCCCCAGCUACGGGAAAGCAAUGUGGUAAAUCUCCUAAAACACAGCCUUGAGCUGAGGCUGCACCCACGGAUUAGAGCAACUUGGAAUCUGCAGCUGGGAAUUAGGGCGCACGGGCCACCGCAAGCGACCGUGCUAGACUGUGCGCCUGUGCCACGGUGAGAAAGUCGCCCUUAAGUGUAAAAUCUGGGCUAGCCUGACAGUAUUCACAGCCUCUCCUAGAGCUAUGGGAGGUUUGGCCCUUAAAUGAAAAGGAAGUAGUCCACCUUAUUAUUUACAGCCACACCUAAUAUUCAUAUCCAAUCACAGAGCAGGACUUAAAUCCUUUUGCCUUGUUUUUCCCCUGCCUGAAAUGUCCCCCUUCCCCCCACCCAUGAUCUCAUGAUCUCAUGACUACCUCCAUAUACUUCAGGUCACAAGCCAAAUGUCACCUUCUUAGGAAACUGUCCCUGACCACUUGACCACUUCCUUCCACAACCUAUUGCUUAUUUCAUAGACCUCAUCAUGGUUUUAUUUUAUUCUUUUUUUUUUUUAACUUCUUUCUUGGUUGGUUUUCUCCCACCCUUCCUCAUGAGAAUAUAUGCUCCCAGAAAGCAGGGAAGAUAAACCAGUUCAGCACAGUUUGCAACUCACCCAGUCCCUAGUGCCUAGAGCCAAUACUACAGAUAGAGUAGUUGCUCAGUAAGUGAUUGUUGAACAUGGAACAAGUGCCUAGUGGCUACUGACCUGGUUAAGUCUUGCUCGGGUGCAGUGCUGUGGCAUGGUCUAGUCAGGAGGGGGGCCUGGGCUGGGAAGGUAACGUGGGCCGGGGGGAGCCUAGAGGUGGGUAUGGGCUUGGUGUGUUUGAGAAGCUGGGAGUAGCCUCUUGCAGAUGGAAGGAAGUCAUUUGAGGGACCAGUGCAGAAACAAACUAGAACCAAGAAAUGUGGGUGAAGCCAGGUUAUAGAAACCUCCCGAUUGCCCACAUCCAUUUUUAUCUCAAUCACUUGUUCUAACUGAAAAAUUGUAUUGAGAUAACCGUAGAUCCUCAUGCAGUUGUAAGAAAUAACACAGAGAGGGGUCCCUUGUAAACUUUGUCCAGUUUCCCCCAUUGGUAACAUUUGGGAAAACUACUGUGUAAUAUCACAAUCAGGACAUGAAAAUUGCGAUAAUUUUAAAUUUUUUGUCAAGGUACUCUAAGUUUUUGAAAGACAUGCACAAAUACUAUUUUAAAGGGUUUCAGUCUCUUGUUUUAAUGGAACCAACAUUUUUUAGGGGAGAAAAAAGGUUUAUUUUACCAAUUAGAGAGUAUUUAAGUUCCUAAUUCUUCAUAUGUAAAGGACCAUCGGAAGCCUUUGGGACUUACCUCUUCUGUUUACAUUUUAGCGAGUGCCAUCCACUUCCCUGUUCUAUCCAGUACUGCCCAAGGACCAUUUUAAGCAAUACUGUACAUGACUUGUCAAUUCUGAAAUCAGACAGGAUGCAGUGUUAACUAAUAUGCUAAACUAAGCCCAACCACUAAUGUGCCUUUCUCUCUCCUUGGACAUUGGAUGCGACUGCCAAUGAGCGUCUCCCGAAGGGAAAUGAUUCAAGACAAAGACCCAUUCUGCCAGCGGCAUACGCCGGGAAUACCAACUACGCUUAUUACCGAAUGUGCAUGGCUGGGGUUGGCCGGCCUUCCUGAUGCCAGUAAGAGGAGGCAGAGGCAAUCUCCAAGCUUUCAAGUGACAUUCAAGUCACCAGGCGCUUUGACACCCAUCGUUAGGGGCCUACCCCAAAGAACCUGUGUCUCUACCUCCGCUGGUGUCCAGGAGCAGCAGCUCGGCUAGUAUUUGACCCUCUUUGGAAUCCGUUUCUCCUAGAUGUGCUCUUGCAAGCAGCACACUCCUCGCCUCUCUACCUUGGUCUUGUUCAAGAAUCCAAAUCAUUAAACGCUCCCACCUGCCUCUUUCUUUGCAACUCUACAUACACUGCAGAAUUUUACUUUGUCUCCUUCAAUUGUGUGGCUUCCCUUAAUCCUUGGAGAGAGCUUCAAAUUGUUUAUUCCUUUAAAAAGUAAAAAAA